GUGAUCAUUUUGGCAGCACAUAUACUAAAACUGGAAAAAUAGAGAGAAGAUUAUCUAGGCCUCUCUGCACAAGGCUGACAUGCAAUUCAGGAAGCCGGCCAUGUUGUCU